rnacentral:rRNA from 1 species
GACGAACGCUGGCGGCGCGCCUAAACAUGCAAGUCGAACGAGAAGCCCGGGCUUGCCCGGGUGGACAGUGGCGAACGGGUGAGUAACACGUGAGGAACCUGCCCCGAAGACCGGGACAACACCGGGAAACCGGUGCUAAUACCGGAUACCUUCACCGGAUCGCAUGGUCUGGUGAAGAAAUGGAUUCCGCUUCGGGAUGGCCUCGCGGCCUAUCAGCUUGUUGGUGAGGUAACGGCUCACCAAGGCAACGACGGGUAGCUGGUCUGAGAGGAUGUCCAGCCACACUGGGACUGAGACACGGCCCAGACUCCUACGGGAGGCAGCAGUUAGGAAUCUUGCGCAAUGGACGAAAGUCUGACGCAGCGACGCC